UUUAAGCAAAGAUAAAUGGUCUUUUUGAUUACUUUUAUGACUAUUUUGACUAUCUAAGUUUUGGACGUGUCAAAUAGAUGGCGUGAAAGAAUAUUGUUUGUUGUGUCAGAUACCGGGCUUAUGGCGGCUCGUUGUCUAAAGUUCAGCUACAAUAAAUUCGUUGGAGAAAAUGUGAAAGGUGCAUGAAGCCUGUACUUUCAACUAUUGUGUUAAAAAUCCUGGCAUCCUACUGAAUAUGUCAUCGAAAUGCCAGAGUGGAUUCAUCACUAUUAUUGGCUAAAUCAUUCUAUCCACUACCAGAUCACCAACCCGGUGUGGACCAAUCUCUCAUUCCAUCUUCUAGAGAACCUUGGAUAACUGAUUGGUGGUUUAGUGUGUUCUUAGGUUUCUAAUGUUGCAUGACAGACUUUAUGAGAAGUCAUGUCCAUUGAAGAAAAAGGACUGACUAUACAGUCAAGGUAACCCGUUGGCUGCUACCCUUGAAUACCCUUUUACUUCAUGAAAGUGUAAACAGGCCAUCUUGAUUUGAGGGUAACUCCUUCGCUGCUUAUCGUGGACUUCAUCCAUUGGUGAAAACCAAUAACAACCAGGAGGAAAAAAGUGCGCUGGUUGAACUGGGACUUGCAAGCUCAGCCGGAAGCCUACUAUAUGAUUAGUCGCUGUCGUAAUACCUGUUCCUCAACGCUUCGCUCUUUUUCCGGUUUCUCCUACCAUCUACCUGUCUGCAGUCAAUUAUGGCAGUGUCUUUCCCCUAUCUUGAUUGACUCUAUGUGCGAAUGUUAAAAGCAUGUAAUCACCCAAAUGAGAAAAAGGGCUAGGUUUGUUUUAUUUGGGUAUAAAUUGUUUUAAAACUUGUACCUAUAAAACAAUUGUAUU